rnacentral:rRNA from 1 species
GUGGGGAAUAUUGCACAAUGGGGGAAACCCUGAUGCAGCAACGCCGCGUGAGUGAAGAAGUAUUUCGGUAUGUAAAGCUCUAUCAGCAGGGAAGAAAAUGACGGUACCUGACUAAGAAGCCCCGGCUAACUACGUGCCAGCAGCCGCGGUAAUACGUAGGGGGCAAGCGUUAUCCGGAUUUACUGGGUGUAAAGGGAGCGUAGACGGCGAAGCAAGUCUGAAGUGAAAGCCCGGGGCUUAACCCCGGGACUGCUUUGGAAACUGUUUUGCUAGAGUGCUGGAGAGGUAAGUGGAAUUCCUAGUGUAGCGGUGAAAUGCGUAGAUAUUAGGAGGAACACCAGUGGCGAAGGCGGCUUACUGGACAGUAACUGACGUUGAGGCUCGAAAGCGUGGGGAGCAAACAGGAUUAGAAACCCGUGUAGUCC